GCAUUGGUGGUUCAGUGGUAGAAUUCUUGCCUUCCGUGUGGGAAACCUGGGUUUGAUUCUCAGCCAGUACA
rfam:Loxodonta africana unplaced genomic scaffold scaffold_6, whole genome shotgun sequence.